rnacentral:rRNA from 1 species
GACAGAGGAUGCAAGCGUUAUCCGGAAUGAUUGGGCGUAAAGCGUCUGUAGGUGGCUUUUUAAGUCCGCCGUCAAAUCCCAGGGCUCAACCCUGGACAGGCGGUGGAAACUACCAAGCUGGAGUACGGUAGGGGCAGAGGGAAUUUCCGGUGUAGCAGUGAAAUGCGUAGAGAUGUGGAGGAACACCGAUGGCGAAGGCAGCCCCCCUGGGUCAAGAUUGACGCUCAUGCACGAAAGCGUGGGGAGCAAACAGG